rnacentral:rRNA from 1 species
UGAGGAAUAUUGGUCAAUGGCCGAGAGGCUGAACCAGCCAAGUAGCGUGGAGGAUGACUGCCCUACGGGUUGUAAACUCCUUUUAUAAGGGGGUAAAGGCAUCUACGUGUAGAUGUUUGCAAGUACCUUAUGAAUAAGCAUCGGCUAACUCCGUGCCAGCAGCCGCGGUAAUACGGAGGAUGCGAGCGUUAUCCGGAUUUAUUGGGUUUAAAGGGAGCGUAGACGGGAUGUCAAGUCAGCUGUGAAAGUCUGCGGCUCAACCGUAGAACUGCAGUUGAAACUGGCGUUCUUGAGUGCGUUCGAGGCAGGCGGAAUUCGUGGUGUAGCGGUGAAAUGCAUAGAUAUCACGAAGAACCCCGAUUGCGAAGGCAGCCUGCCAGGCCGCUACUGACGUUGAAGCUCGAAAGUGCGGGUAUCAAACAGG